AUUGAACGCUGGCGGAAUGCUUUACACAUGCAAGUCGAACGGCAGCACGGGAGCUUGCUCCUGGUGGCGAGUGGCGAACGGGUGAGUAAUGCAUCGGAACGUACCUAUUAGUGGGGGAUAACUAUCCGAAAGGAUAGCUAAUACCGCAUACGUCCUGAGGGAGAAAGCGGGGGAUCGCAAGACCUCGCGCUAAUAGAGCGGCCAAUGUUGGAUUAGCUAGUUGGUGGGGUAAAGGCCUACCAAGGCGACGAUCCAUAGCUGGUCUGAGAGGAUGAUCAACCACACUGGGACUGAGACACGGCCUAGACUCCUACGGGAGGCAGCAGUGGGGAAUUUUGGACAAUGGGGGCAACCCUGAUCCAGCCAUUCCGCGUGAGUGAAGAAGGCCUUCGGGUUGUAAAGCUCUUUCGGCAGGAACGAAACGGUGGUUACUAAUACUAGCUACUAAUGACGGUACCUGAAGAAGAAGCACCGGCUAACUACGUGCCAGCCGCCGCAGUAA
rnacentral:rRNA from 1 species